GAAAAGCACGGUCGAAAGAGGAGCGUGUAACGAAGGCUCGGGAAGAGAAGUCGGAGAAAGAGAGGGAACACGGCGUGCCUCGCGGGUCGCCGGCUCUUCUUCAGGGUCCGAGCUUCGUCCGAAACGAAGCGCCUUCGUUCUCCUCCUCUUCUCUUAUGAGAACGUGCCGUCGGGGACGACGCUUCGUCGAACCGUUCGUCGUUCGAUCGGUUCUCCACGUUUGGCCUCACUCGUCUCUUCUUAUCCCUCUUUCGUUUAAUCCUUCUCUAGUUUCCUGUAUCAUACUCUAUCUGUCUCUCGUGCCUCCGUCUCUUUCUGUCUCGCUUUAUCUGUCUGUAUUCUUGCAUCUUUCUCCAUCUCGAUCAUUCGAUUCACCGGUUUCUUCCUCUUCUUAGCUCCGCAGCUUCCUUCUUCUCUCGUCUUUUCGGCUCGAACCGCGUGUCACGGUGAAGCGAACGUGGUGCACGCUCCGGGUGGUGGUGCUGGUGCUUGGUGUUGGUGGUGGUGGUGGUGCUGGUUGUUUUGGUGUCGUCGAUGGUGUCGGUGGUCGAUGGUGAUCGGUGAAUCCGCCUCGAGCGAUCAGGAGAUCUCACCCUUGGAAACCUUCCGCUUUCGCUCGAUCGAGGAGGGGAGGCUGCUCGAAUCAUGGCGUCCUACAGGAGCUACGGUGACACUGGCGCCUACCGACCCAGAGGCAAUGUUGGCAUCGCCGCAGGUACAUUUGGAAGAACGACCACGUCGACUGGCAGCGGUCUUCCGGGUUGCAGGAACAGCUACUCGUCGUCCAUCGGUUCCGGUUCCAGCCGAGUGCACGGCAAGGAGAGGGUUUCUGGCUUCGGAAACGCGUUUCUAAAGAAAGACAAGUCCGAGGAAAAACCUACCUUUAAGUACUCCACUAACAAGGACGCGGACAAAAACAGACUACACCCCAGUAGGUCGUCGACGGAGGAUGUAGGGGCGAAAAGUCCAUUAUCGAGCAGCAGAUCUUCUCUGUUCGAGAAGUACUCGUUUCCAGCUACUAAAGCUUCAGAGAGGCCCGCCUCCGUUUUGGACAGAUAUAACCGUGCCACUUCCCGCGAGAAGAGCAGAGAGCCAGACGGAGUAUCGCGAUACGGAUCCAACACGUAUCCCGGAUCGAGCUUGGCUCGAACUUAUGGAAACGAAAGUAGAAUCGAGAAGAAAGAGAGGUCCGAUCAUCCGCCGGUUUCCUACCGUGGAUUACGGCCGAACUCUGGGAGAAGUUCACGCGAACCUAGCCCGGAAGUCAACGUCGGAAAAUCGAACUCCUUCAGAAUGUAUUCGAGAGCCCCAUCCUACGGUCGAUCCAGUGCCACUUCUAGUGCCUCCGAAUCGAGCUCGGCGCCAAUCUCCUCGAGAUUCGGCUCGACAGCUGGUAGCAGGUUCCUUUCAUCGAGAAGCAGCAACGACCGAAUACCGGCAGCCAUAAGCUACUCCGGAUCGGACAGGUUCCGAACUUCAGGCAGUAAGCCUAUGCCGGCAAAUUUAAAGGACGAAGACACCGUUAAAUCCAACGUGGAAAGGAACGCGACUCAAGAAAAACGUUCCACUCCUGUUAAAUCGGAAGAAUUAAAAGUCGACAACAGACUUCAGGACAAUGAGACCGUUACAAUGGUUACGAGAGGUACGUCGCCCAGUCUACCGGCUUCUUCGUCCUUUGUGAGGAGCAGAAGAGCCGACAUAGGCAUCGCGAAUCAAAGGGAAGUCGCGCGAGUUCGAAAGAAAACGGAGACGAAGAAUCAAGAAGUUCAGAGCGAAAGGCUCGAGGAUGCUUCGAGAUUUUCGCGAUUUGGAGGCGGUGGACGAAUCUCGGGGACUCCGUGGUCAACGUACUUGGACAAAUUUUCCUCGAAUUCGAGCGGAAGUGGCGUGUACGCCAGAGGCUUUAACGGAGGCGUAACCAAUUCCAGAGUAAACAGCUUCGCGUUCUCGAGAUCGAACGACGCUUCCAGAAACGAUUCGACUUCAAAAUUAUCGCCUAGUUCUAGUCAAGAAAUCCACGGCAAUAGAAACCAAAAUGAACAGAAUACUAAAGCGUUCGGCGGUUUAGGUUUCGCGGUCACGAAAACGGAUUCGAAAGCGUCUACGGGUAACGAUCCAAGCAAUUCCAAUCAGACGGAGGUUAAAGCGCACAAUGGCGAGGUUCGUCCAUGUAGCGUCGGCAAGAUCGAAGUGAAAACCAGUCGUUUAGCGAAUCCUUCGGUUUUAAAGAGAGACAACUCACCGCACCAGCCUGGUGUUGUCAAGUCGCCAGAUUCCCGCGAAAAUACUUCGAAGAGCGAAGAACAGCAAAGUAGUAGAGAAAGUUCAACGUCGAAGAGCGAGGAUAGCAGCCAGAGAAGGCCAUCGAUACCGAGAUUAGGUCGUAUCGCAAUGAAGAACGAAGGCAAGGUUACGAAGUCGUCAUCGAGUUCGUCGACUAAGUCCGAUGGAUUGCGAGAAAGAAGGAGCUCGACACCUAAAUCUGACACUAGCUCGUUAUCGAAACUAGAUGAAUCUUCUAGGAUAGUCGAGGGCCACUGCCAGGGACAGAGCAAAGAAGUCUCCGCGUCUAAAAGCGAUAGUGUUUCUUCCACGAAAGAUUCUUUCCAAAGCAAUUCGUCCCAAAGCCGAUCCACAACACCCCAGUCGCGAAGCGGUUCUACGAAAAAUCUCUCCCGCCAAAUGACACGGACCGAUUCGUCGGAAGGAUCCGCUGUAAAUGUGCCAAUUGGCAGAUCGAAAUCGACGUCAGCCAGUUCGGUGACGAGUCAGGGUGCAAAAAUAAAGGCGACGCCGCCACCAUCGCCAGGGAAAUCUUCAGCGUCGACCGUCUCUUCAGUGAAUCUGAGGCAGGGCGGAUCACCGGAUGCUCGUGGCAAACCACCUGUACCGAAGAGCGAUGCCACAUCGGCGUCCGCAUCCAAGAGCAUCGUGCCAGUUAAGUACGUGAACAAGGAUUUUCGAAAGUCGACGUUAAACAUGGAGAAUGGCGACCCGUCGCAAUCUAAGUACAGCAGGAAGAAGAAGAAUCAACGAAGCAUGUCCGUCAGCUCUCAAGAUUCGCAAUCCGAACCGAACUCCGAACCGAAUAUCCAUCGUCCAGCUGUCCCCUCGGAAUCAAGCUCGAGUUCCGUGAAAUCGAAUAGAUCAAGGCUGAGAAUGCCAUCGUCCGGUACGUCGUCAAAGAGCAUCGGUAGGAAAAGCGAGUCGAGUAGUUCGUCGAGGCCGGAAAAUUCGAGGAGCAGCUCGAAAUCCCCUUCCGGCAAGAGAAGCAAGCAAGACGGAAGCUCGAGUUCCAGCGGCGUUAGCGAGUCGAAUUCGUCGAAUUCGUCGAGCAGCGAGGAGGAAGACGAUAAUAAACAGGCAAGACCAGGAUCGAGACGUCGUAAGAGGAGAACGUCAAAAUCUCCUUUCUGCGAGAAAAAAGGGAAGAUAAGCGCCGGGUCAUCGAGGACGAGCGUUUUGGCGUCAUCCACCGACGAAAUGUCUUUGACGAUGGACAAACCACCCAGACCGCCGUCUAGCCCAAGAUCGAAAAGCGAUCGUUCGGGGAAAACGGAGGAGGCUAAAUCAUUCCUGAUGAGGGCCCUCGCACCAGUGACGAAUCUUUUCAAGAAUAAGCAUCAAGAUUCCAGCGAGUCGGGUAAAUCAGGUGGUUGGCUGGAUUCCAACGAGGAGAGCACGGACGCGAAGAAGUCAGAGCAGAACGGUACGAUCGCUUUAUCGAAGAGUCUAUCGAAGAGCUUCAGUUUCACGAACUCGGAGAAGAACGACGACAAGAGACAUUCUAGCGUGAGGAUCAGGCGGAAUUUUUCCGGGGAGCAGCCGUGGUGGAUGGAUCCGAACUCCGACAAUGUUCCUGAAGGCGUCGAAACGGGAAGCGUGUGCAACGAAGAUAUCAGUCAAGAAACGACCGUCAGUAGUACCUUACCUGACGAUGGCAAAUUUAAAUACAAAGUGUGGAGACAAGAAUCGGAGGAACGAGCUUGGUGGUUAGAUUCAAACGACAGCGCGGCCUCGGAAGAUGCGAGGAAACAGUCGACAACGAUUUUAAGACAAGAAUCGGGAGAGAAGGCUUGGUGGCUAGAUUCCAAUGAUAACGUCCCGUCGGAAGAAACUCAGAGACAAUCUUCCGCAACAGUUUUGAAGCACGAUUCGGGAGAUAGGGGUCGUUGGUUAGAGGGAAAUGACAGCGUUCUUUCGGAUGAAGCCAAAAAACUGUCGCGACCGACGAUAUGGAGACAAGAAUCGGGGGAAAGGGCUUGGUGGUUGGAUGCAAACGAUAAUGUUCCGUCGGAGGAAUCGAAGAAACAAUCGUCUAUGGCGUCUCCUGUUUCGAAACGAGAGUCCAGUCGUUCCAGUACUCGAUCCAACGAACGAAGAAAUCGACUCAGGCACCAACAAUCCGGCGAACAAGCAUGGUGGAUGAACGACAAUCCUGAGAACGUACCUGAAGGAGUCGAAGUCAUUCCUGUCGCUACAACGCCCACGCAAAAAAAUAAUAGCUACAAUGAUGAAGUGGACGACAGUCAACCGUACAAUAGAAGUAUAAAUAAAGUCAGGCACAUCGAGUCUGGUGAGAAACCAUGGUGGAUGGAUAGCUCGUCGAACGUUCCUGACGGCGUCGUUAAGAUUCCUAUGGAAACGUCGAACAGCACCUCCGAUUCCUCCGAAUCGUUCGAGAAAAUCGAUAUUGGCGUUAACCCUGAACCUGAGAUAUACGCGAAGAGAAACCUUUCUAGAUUCCCUAUCGAGUUUCCGCCACCACCACCCGAUGAGCCGCUUGGGGAUCGCGCCAGUCCUGAAGGGGUGGAAAAUCCUCCAGAUCCGCCUGACAACUAUGGCGGACGCGAUUCGCCUUACGAUAAUGUUCAGUCGACACCCCGAAGAUCGUCGCCAAGGAAACGUCCUUCCACGUUACCGUUGUUCAUCGGCCAACACACCAAUAUCGACGAUUUAUUGGGCGACACGACCACCUUGUGUCCAAGCCCUGUCUUGUCUCGAAUUCGUAAACGCGAACGCAUCGGCGAGGAUUCGGCGGAAGAGAGUUCAGAAUGCGAAGAGAUCGACGCCACCCAAGUGAUCAUCCACGACAGCACUCCGCAGACACCGGUGAUACAACGACGACAUCGGGACAACGAGAGACCUCAACCCGACGGCUACAUUCCGGGUGUCCUUUGUAGCCGGGACGGAAUAGGGAGGGGGUUGACCGCACGGCGGCGCCACUGUCGCCUUAGUGGCGACAGGUGUCCGUGGCGUUCAGUGUCGCGGCGGCCGCUCGCGAGGUAAGAUACAUUGUUGAUUGUGUAUUUUUUCUCUCAUUUUCUUUCUUAUCCAGUUUUAUGAUUCCGCGUUAUUUUCGUUCGCGUAUCGUCGAUUAAUGUGUGUAUUUUGACGAGUGUCGUACGCGAUCACGGAUCAAGGUGACGCGCGUUUCCGUGCGCGGGAAGCGCGCGUGUCGUUCGCGCUCACUCUGAGUUUUUGUCGCGCAGACUCCGGUUCGACAGUUCGUUUACUGUAUAUAUCGUUGUUCUCCUCCCGGCUUCUGGUCCAGACACUGCUCCAAAAAUCGAACAUCAACGGCUGGCCGUUACGAUCGAGCGAUGUCGUUCGAUAACUGACCAGUCAGUGCCACAGAUACACACUUCAAACCGAUCGAUCGAUGGAAGAGCGCGAAAAGCUGCAGAGACAAAAUAGCGGCACUUUUUCCUCCGUCACGAAUCUCCAUCGUCGCUCAGACAAAAAUAAAUCGGCAGCUUUCCACGGUGGCUCGCG